AGGAGUAAGAUGAUAUCGAAUAGAAGCUUCUAACUUCUUAUUCAAGCGGUUUAAAUCCGUUUUUACACCUG
rnacentral:tRNA from 1 species